CUCUGGAGCCAGGAGUGACCCAGCAGGGAAGGGACCCCGCCUCGGAAGAGCUCACGCUGAGAUGACCCUCUGGGGCCCUUCCCCGCAGCGAUUGUCCUUGCCAAGCUUCCAAUGAUUGCUGGGACUUCUGGAACAGUAGUGUAGCUGUCUACUAUAAUGUUUGGCAUUCUGCUCUUGGCUUUCUCUCUGCCAGGGGUCUGGUCAUGUUCACCUAGCAUGGGAAAGCUGUAGAACUGUCUGGGACUCCAGACUGUCUGGAAGGAGUUAAAGGCAAGGCCAUCAGAUGCUCAGAUUUCCAUGUGAAGAAGUCUAAUGUAAUCAUCAGUACUGAGGAGUCAGCAGAGAGCAAGAGAGAGAAAGACCUCCAUGGAGCUCACUUUCUAGUGAUGGACAAGAAACAAACAAGAUUCCCACCUCUUUCGUGUUGACACCAUCCAUCCUUCAAGGGAACCCUGGACCUGCUGGAGCUGGACUCCGGAAAUGCUCUUUCUCAAAAAUAAAUAAACUUUAAAAAAAAACCCAUGAGAGUAGCAGAAGGAAGCAAUCAUUGGAAAGUUUGGGGAAGAGUGUUCAAGAAAAGAGGAACACUAUGUGCGUAGGCUCUGAGCUAAGAAAGCUUAGUUUGUACAGGAAGAAAGAUGGACAGGGAGGCUGGAACUGUACGUGAUGGGGAAGGGAGGCUGAGCAUAACAUCUGAGAGGGAGAACAGGUCAGGAAGAGCCUUGUGGAUCAUAGCAUAGAGCUUAGAUUUGAUUCUUUUUUUUUAAAUUUAU